CCCUUAGAUGUUCUGGGCUGCACGCGCGCUACAAUGAUGCAUGCAACGAGUUUUCGACCUUGCCUGAAAAGGUUGGGUAAUCUGUUUAACAUGUGUCGUGAUGGGGAUAGACCAUUGCAAUUAUUGAUCUUCAACGAGGAAUUCCUAGUAAGCGCGAGUCAUCAGCUCGUGCUGAUUAUGUCCCUGCCCUUUGUACACACCGCCCGUCGCUCCUACCGAUUGAGUGAUCCAGUGAAUGAUUCGGACCAGCGUGCUGCUCAGAUCCUGCGCAGUGUGCUGGGAAGUCUAGUGAACCUUAUCACUUAGAGGAAGGAGAAGUCGUAACA
rnacentral:rRNA from 1 species